UACGGGAGGCAGCAGUGGGGAAUAUUGCACAAUGGGCGAAAGCCUGAUGCAGCUAUGCCGCGUGUAUGAAGAAGGCCUUAGGGUUGUAAAGUACUUUCAUCGGGGAGGAAAAACAAAACUAAUAAUUUUAUUUCUUGACGUUACCCGAAAAAGAAGCACCGGCUAACUCCGUGCCAGCAGCCGCGGUAAUACGGAGGGUGCUAGCGUUAAUCAGAAUUACUGGGCGUAAAGAGCACGUAGGUGGUUUUUUUAAGUCAGAUGUGAAAUCCCUGGGCUUAACCUGGAACUGCAUUUUGAAACUGAAAUACUAGAGUAUCGUAGAGGGAGGUAGAAUUCUAGGUGUAGCGGUGAAAUGCGUAGAUAUCUGGAGGAGUACCUGUGGCGAAAGCGGCCUCCUAAACGAAUACUGACACUGAGGUGCGAAAGCGUGGGGAGCAAACAGGGAUUAGAUACC
rnacentral:rRNA from 1 species